GUAUGUGUUGUGUAAUGCAACAUAUCGUGCGAUAUUCACUCUGUACAAUGUUUCUGAAAUCUUGCGAAAGAGGAGACCCAAGGUUGGUGACAAAAAGAUGGACACUGUGUUCAUACUCGAACGUCAAAGAGAAGAAAAAAUAAUUAAAAGGAGGAUGACGAGGUGAUAUGGUGAUGGCCUGGUGCAUGGUGACGGAAGAUAGCCUCUGGAAACGCAAUAAUGCAAUGGCCCAUGCACUCAUUAAUCCACGUCUAUAUUGACAGGACUCGUCAUACACUGGCUUGGUCUACUGCUGUGACAAAACGCAAACUACAUAAAAUAAAACUAGAAAUAGCGAGGUAAGGCCAUGAUAACAAGAAAAGAAAAGGACAAAUCUGGGGUGCGUUCCAAUUAUAGCGCUUCAAUUAUUGUCCACAGCCGUCCUGCCUAACUUGCGUUGGCUCUAGCUAACUGGGAUCAGAUCACUGCUGAUCAAACGUCACCCAAAGUUAAUAGAGUUCAUCGGAACGCACACACAAGAUAGGGCUCCGAGACUGCGUAGACGAAGAUCACCUUACCCUAGCCUGAUUAGAUGACACGCAAAUCUACUCCCUGGCGCAACAGCUAUCAAAAUCCCAUAGCUGCCGAGCCGUCGAGGAGAAUAUCUUCUUACUUUUCAUUGGGGUCAGUACUCCGGGAAGAUUCAGUGGUCACCGGAGGAGAUUCCGAGUCAUGCAUAUGCAUUGGUUUCCAUCUUUCCAUCC
rnacentral:lncRNA from 1 species